rnacentral:rRNA from 1 species
GACGUAGGGCGCGAGCGUUGUCCGGAUUUAUUGGGCGUAAAGAGCCCGUAGGCGGCUUGUCGCGUCGUCCGUGAAAACUCACAGCUCAACUGUGAGCUUGCGGUCGAUACGGGCAGGCUAGAGUUCGGUAGGGGAGACUGGAAUUCCUGGUGUAGCGGUGAAAUGCGCAGAUAUCAGGAGGAACACCGGUGGCGAAGGCGGGUCUCUGGGCCGAUACUGACGCUGAGGAGCGAAAGCGUGGGGAGCGAACAGG